CACGUAGGGAGCAAGCGUUGUCCGGAUUUAUUGGGCGUAAAGAGCUCGUAGGUGGUUCGAUAAGUCGGGUGUGAAAACUCUGGGCUCAACUCAGAGACGCCACUCGAUACUGUCGUGACUGGAGUCUGGUAGGGGAGUGUGGAAUUCCCAGUGUAGCGGUGAAAUGCGCAGAUAUUGGGAGGAACACCAGUGGCGAAGGCGGCACUCUGGGCCAGUACUAACACUGAGGAGCGAAAGCGUGGGGAGCGAACAGG
rnacentral:rRNA from 1 species